rnacentral:lncRNA from 1 species
CGACAAUCGGCUCCAUCCCUUGCUCAACAGCUGAUGGUAGUAUUCCUUCCUGUGUCUCAAUAUGACCCUAUCGUCGUCGCCUACGUCGAUAUACAAUAUCAUCGCGACGAACCUGCAACGUAGAUGGAACGUCAGAAAGAUAGAUAGACGUGAAUGAAAUAUCAAAAUAUAAUACCUCUGACGUAGAUGGAAUAUUAAAUAGAGGGAUGGAUGCGAAGGGGCAUCAGAAGUUGAAGGGACAUUAGAUGGAUGAAUUGGGACAGAUGUCGAUGGAAAAUUAUACGCAGGCAUCGAGGUGGAGGGAAUAUCACCGAAAUCAUAUGCAGGCGCGGACGUGGAGGGAAUAUCACCGAAAUCAUAUGCAGGUGUGGAGGUGGAGGGAAUAUCACCGAAAUCAUAUGUAGGUGUGGAGGUGGAGGGAAU